GAGUUUGAUCCUGGCUCAGGACGAACGCUGGCGGUAUGCUUAACACAUGCAAGUCGAACGAGAAGGAAGAGCUUGCUCUUCCUGAAAGUGGCGAACGGGUGAGUAACGCGUGGGUAACCUACCCUUUGGAAAGGAAUAGCCUCGGGAAACUGGGAGUAAUGCCUUAUAAGAUACGUUUGUCGCAUGGCAUUUGUAUUAAACGCUCCGGCGCCAUAGGAUGGACCCGCGUCCCAUUAGCUAGUUGGUGAGAUAACAGCUCACCAAGGCCACGAUGGGUAACCGGUCUGAGAGGGCGAACGGUCACACUGGGACUGAGACACGGUCCAGACUCCUACGGGAGGCAGCAGUGGGGAAUAUUGCGCAAUGGGGGCAACCCUGACGCAGCAAUACCGCGUGAGUGAAGAAGGUUUUCGGAUCGUAAAGCUCUGUUAUUGGGGAAGAAAAAAAGACGGUACCCAAGAAGAAAGUUCCGGCUAACUACGUGCCAGCAGCCGCGGUAAUACGUAGGGAACAAGCGUUGUCCGGAUUUACUGGGCGUAAAGGGCACGCAGGCGGUUUUUUAAGUCAGAUGUGAAAGGCCACAGCUCAACUGUGGACAUGCAUUUGAAACUGAAAGACUUGAGUAUUGGAGAGGCAAGUGGAAUUCCUAGUGUAGCGGUGAAAUGCGUAGAUAUUAGGAGGAACACCGGUGGCGAAGGCGAGUUUGAUCCUGGCUCAGGACGAACGCUGGCGGUAUGCUUAACACAUGCAAGUCGAACGAGAAGGAAGAGCUUGCUCUUCCUGAAAGUGGCGAACGGGUGAGUAACGCGUGGGUAACCUACCCUUUGGAAAGGAAUAGCCUCGGGAAACUGGGAGUAAUGCCUUAUAAGAUACGUUUGUCGCAUGGCAUUUGUAUUAAACGCUCCGGCGCCAUAGGAUGGACCCGCGUCCCAUUAGCUAGUUGGUGAGAUAACAGCUCACCAAGGCCACGAUGGGUAACCGGUCUGAGAGGGCGAACGGUCACACUGGGACUGAGACACGGUCCAGACUCCUACGGGAGGCAGCAGUGGGGAAUAUUGCGCAAUGGGGGCAACCCUGACGCAGCAAUACCGCGUGAGUGAAGAAGGUUUUCGGAUCGUAAAGCUCUGUUAUUGGGGAAGAAAAAAAGACGGUACCCAAGAAGAAAGUUCCGGCUAACUACGUGCCAGCAGCCGCGGUAAUACGUAGGGAACAAGCGUUGUCCGGAUUUACUGGGCGUAAAGGGCACGCAGGCGGUUUUUUAAGUCAGAUGUGAAAGGCCACAGCUCAACUGUGGACAUGCAUUUGAAACUGAAAGACUUGAGUAUUGGAGAGGCAAGUGGAAUUCCUAGUGUAGCGGUGAAAUGCGUAGAUAUUAGGAGGAACACCGGUGGCGAAGGC
rnacentral:rRNA from 1 species